rnacentral:rRNA from 1 species
CAGUCGCCACGGGAAUACAGAGGGUGCAAGCGUUAAUCGGAAUUACUGGGCGUAAAGCGCGCGUAGGUGGUUUGUUAAGUCGGAUGUGAAAUCCCCGGGCUCAACCUGGGAACUGCAUCCGAAACUGGCAAGCUAGAGUAUGGUAGAGGGUAGUGGAAUUUCCUGUGUAGCGGUGAAAUGCGUAGAUAUAGGAAGGAACACCAGUGGCGAAGGCGACUACCUGGACUGAUACUGACACUGAGGUGCGAAAGCGUGGGGAGCAAACAGGAUUAGAUACCCCUGUAGUCCCUGUCUCUUAUAC